UUGCUCAAGUUGGACAUCAAGAAGGCUUUUGAUUCAGUUAGAUGGGAAUAUCUUCUCGACCUGUUGCAGAGGAGAGGUUUUCCUUCGAGGUUUCGUGAGUAGAUCACGGCCCUUCUUCGGACGUCUACAUCGAGGGUUCUUCUCAACGGUGUUCCUGGCAAUCCUAUCCAGCAUGGGCAGGGCCUCCGGCAGGGGGACCCAGUGUCUCCCCUUCUGUUUGUCCUUGCUAUUGAUGUUGGGGAUCGUAGCAGAAUUCAAAAAAAAUUCUACGCAUCACCAAGAUCCAUCUAUGGAGUAUACUAG
rnacentral:rRNA from 1 species